GGAGGGCUGGCAGAGUGGUCGAUUGCACCGGUCUUGAAAACCGGCAAGGCUUCGCGGUCUUCGUGGGUUCGAAUCCCACGCCCUCCGCCA
rnacentral:tRNA from 1 species